UCCGAUAUAUCUGAUGGCGACUGUACAUAUUAUACCAUGUAGUGUAUAAUUGUUAUCUAUCGUAUUUUCUCGGAAACGUUCGUAUUUGUCAUGCUACUUCAGUCAACCGCAGUACUUUUUGUACCGAGACUGACUGAAAUAGCAAGACACGUUCGUACGUUUCCAUGAAAAUACGAACGUACCUUAAACUUACUCAACAUUGCCUAUCACGCCAAACAUUGCCUGUGGGCGCAGCACGGUUCCAUUUUUAUCGUCUAUCACUAUGCGCGUCCCUUUCGCACUUACGUACUUGUUGACCGAAGCGAAGCGAAGGUCUACGUUUUGACUCGGGCAUUUUGCUUUCGUAUGUCCGGAUGUUCUCCUCUACAGGUCGCAAUUCUUAACCGAUUCUCGUGAAAUUUUGUGACCGAAUUUUAUGACUAAAUAAAAUUUUUUUGUCAAUCCGGUUUUUGGAAAUUUUUAAAAAUGGCGGAGUCGUGAUACCUGGCGCCUAAACAAAUAGUCGUAUCGAUAUCAUAAGACUUUUUUCUUUUUGAAACAUGUUUACAGAGUUAAUAGCAAAAAAGGCAGAAAAAAAUUAUCGCUGGUUUAGGCGGUAUUUAGAUAUUUAAUUUUAACUAAUUUUAAUUUGAGAAGGAGUAGCUAAAUUUCGUCAACCCAUCUAAGAACUAUUUGGCUCAGUUUGUAAACGUUCGCUUUUUCUGUUUGCACAGAGGGUCUGGGUUUGGUCUGGGUUCGAUCCCCAGUAAUUGUAUGCUGGGAUAUUAUAACUUUUUGUAUUUUGUUACACAUAAAUUUCGUAUUGUUUUUCUUUAAUUUACUAUACACCGUGUUUUUAUUGAAUUCCGUUAACUUCGGGGUAUAGUUAAGUACGUUUAUAAGAACUAAAUGGCAUAGUUAAUUUUCAAAAAAAAAAAUUUUUUUUGUUUUCUUUUUUGUUUUUUUUUUUGUUUAAAAAGUAAUUAAAUGUAGCAUAUAGCGUUGUUGUAACACGGGCAUUACAUUUAACUCAACCAAACAAUUGAAAUCUGUGACAUAUCAAUGUCAUUUCGUACAUCAAUCGACCGAGAUUGUACUUAAGUUUAGUAGCAAAUGUAUGAACUCAUUCUAAACACUAAUCAAUAUGUAAGCCGGCCCUAAGGCAAGUGUACACGCUUGUAGAGGCCUUAUAGUAAAAAAAUAAAUUAUGGAUUAUCUCCGAAAUGGACUUAAUUAGAUCAUCGGUGUCUUUGAGAAAGUUACUUGAUUUAAGCUCAGGAAUGCACCCUUGAAAUUAACGGAAAUCAAAAAAAACACGGUGUAUUUAAAGCUCUUAGCACCAUGUUAUUUCAAGCUCUGCUCGCGAGGUCUACAGCUCACAGAGCCACUAGUUAGAACGUGACAGGCAUGGUGACAAGGGAUAAGAACGCGACCGUGCUAAGCCGCCUGGCUUCAAAAACAGUGCUUCUCUGGUCGCCUAUCUUCCAUUUUAGGAAUUAGAGACAACUGUUUAGUUAAGAACUGGGGGCCUAAUCAAGAUGAUAAUCUUACAUCAAUUGACAAACGCCAAACGAGUAGAAGAAGAAAUACAUUUAUUUUAACGCCACAACAUAAUUAGUACAUGAAAAAAAGAUAGGCAUGCAGACUUAAAAGACAUUUGGACCAAAAAUGUAUGACCGAUGCUACGAAGUCUCGUGAAUAUUACCAAUUUCCAUAUAUUAUUUAAAUUUUGAUUGGCGUUUUCUCCCCGCUGAUUUAUUUAAAUUUUAAAUAUGAAAAUGUUGGCAUAGUAUGCAAAGUUAUUUUAUUUAAGUUAUGUUGUGUUUAAAGCCUACCACUGACUAACAUGCCGCCGGACGAUAUCGGCCUGUCAGAACAAAAAUUUGACAGCUCCGAACAACUGACAGGCCGAUAUCGUCCGGCGAACUGUUAAUCAGUGGGCCCCUUAAGUUAUGUAAGUUUAUGGUACUUAGUCAUUGACACUUAAAACAAUAUUAGUUUAAAGAGAUUUGCAUAUCGAGACAAACAGUAGAUUUCCUUUCCCAUUUCGUAACUGUAUUUAGUAAUUAGUUACGAAUAAAAUAGCAAUGUGCUUUUUGCAACUGAUUAAAAAACCUCUAGAAAAAGGUGUAUCGAUCUCGUUGAUAAUUAAAAUAAUAUGAAUAUUGUAGGACUUUAAAUUAUUUAUUGAAAAAAUAAAUAAAACACAUAUUGCCAUAGAGUAAUAUAAGUAAAGGAAGAGUGGUAGAGUUAGAUCAAGAAAAGUUUGCAGCGAUUUUGAUAGCAUACGCAGUGCAAGUGUUAUUUCAUACGUCAUAAUUUCAUAGAAGUGUGACGUUCAAAAUAACAAUUGCACUGCGUGCGCUGUCAAAAUCGACUCAGACUUUUCUUGGCUAACUCUUACUCCAUACAUCAGUUAUCUUACCAAAACGCGAGUUAUUUCGUAGUCGACAUCUAACGUCAAGUAGCGGAAUUUAUCAAUACUGCUAGUUGACAAUAGUCGCGACGAACGAAAACCCUAAUGCUCAACAAUUUUCAACAUAUACUAUAACCGGAUUAACCGGAACUCUAUUUUCAACUCCUUCUGCUUAUAUUAGUUGUAAAUUGUUUUAGUAGUAUAUUUUUCGUCAGUAGCGACACUUGUGACAUCUGGUGUCAAGUAGCGGUACUGAUGGUUCCACUACUUGACGUUAGAUGAGAGUUUCUUUUAUUUUUUGCCAUUUUUAAAUAUUGUGAAUUUUUUUGCCACUUUUGUGUUAUUUCUACUCAGAAUCACGAGCUCUUUCGAUCCUAAUGCGAUAAAAAAAUGUCCCAGAGUGUUUUUCCUAUUGUGUUACCAUUUUCCCAUAUACUUUGUAUGGCGGUAACAAAAAGGAAAGUAUGAAAAAUGUAUGGAAAUUUUAGGACACUUUUUUUCUCCUAUAAGGAUGAAAAGGGUUCGCGAUCUUGACUAGAAAUAACACAAAAGUGGCAAAAAAGGUCACAAUAUAUAAAAAUGGCAAAAAAUAAAAGGAACGCUCAGGUAAUCAUUGUAUAUAUGAAAAAUAAUAUUUCUGGCGGGAUUUUACAUUCAAUUUUACUAAAUAUAGCAAAUAACCUAUCUUGUACAAUGUGACAUUAUAAUAAUUAUAAUUAAAAAUUAAAUAAAAAAAAGCUUUACUACCGGAAGCCUCGUUUAAGGUAACUUUAUAUUUAUUUAAAACUUAAACCAUAGACAAAAUAAUAAUAAGACUUACAAAGUAGUGCAAAAUACUGUACGAUUGUAUUUGACCGUGAAGAUGACACUUUAUGCGCUCUUAAUGGAAUGUAGAACUUCAGAUACCUCAUAUAUAAGAGG